UUAAACGGUAGGGUAUUGGCCUACCGUGGCAAUGACGGGUAACGGGGAAUUAGGGUUCGAUUCCGGAGAGGGAGCCUGAGAAACGGCUACCACAUCUAAGGAAGGCAGCAGGCGCGCAAAUUACCCAAUCCUAAUACAGGGAGGUAGUGACAAGAAAUAACAAUACAGGACUUUUUGGUUUUGUAAUUUGAAYGAGUUU
rnacentral:rRNA from 1 species